rnacentral:lncRNA from 1 species
AUGGGUUGAGGUUGCUUCAUUAGCAAGGCAUAGUCAAUGCAUAGUUGAAUUAGGGUUUCCUUGGGAAACAAUCCUCAAGCCCUUUGGUUCAUCUUGAUCAAAUUGACAAAUUGAGAUACUUAGGAGGCAUAUAUGAUGAACGAGAGAUUUGGGAACCAUUUUCAUGCUUGCUUUCACUUUAUCUGGCCACAUUAAUGAGCAUAGGGGCCUCCUAGGAGCCUUGGGUCAUAUGAUUGCUCAAGCUACAAAACAAACAAAGUUAGUAACAUAUUUUUGUGCUUUUGGUUAGUAAAAAAAAU